GCGACCUUGGUGUAGCGGUAACAUACAAUAUCUUAUUCACUAUGUCCUUACUGAAUUUGGAUUGGGUCCGGGCUUCGACUCCCCGAGGGCGCA